rnacentral:rRNA from 1 species
UGGAUUCGCUAGUAAUCGCGCAUCAGCCACGGCGCGGUGAAUACGUUCCCGGGCCCUUGUACACACCGCCCGUCAAGCCAUGGAAGCCGGGAGUGCCUGAAGUACGCGACCGCAAGGAGCGUCCUAAGGUAAAACCGGUGACUGGGGCUAAGUCGUAACAAGGUAGC